rnacentral:lncRNA from 1 species
UUUUAUUUUUUCUCUUGACCUGUAAGCCUCAGCUGAUAAUGGGGAUGGUUUUUUCCUAGGGCUUUCCUGUGAGCUCUGCUUCAAGGACAAGGGGAAAUCAGCCUCUCUGUUGAGUGUUAUCCUUGGCUACUUCCAUAGUUGAGAGAGGGG